UACGUAGGGGGCUAGCGUUGUCCGGAAUCAUUGGGCGUAAAGAGCGUGUAGGCGGCUCGAUAAGUCCGCUGUGAAAGUCCAGGGCUCAACCCUGGGAUGCCGGUGGAUACUGUCGGGCUCGAGUCCGGAAGAGGCGAGUGGAAAUUCCGUGGUGUAGCGGUGAAAUGACGCAGAUAUCAGGAGGAACACCAAUGGCGAAGGCAGCUCGCUGGGACGUGACUGACGCUGAGACGCGAAAGCGUGGGGAGCAAACAGG
rnacentral:rRNA from 1 species